rnacentral:lncRNA from 1 species
GCYGGUGUUUCUGCAAAGCAUUGUGAGGCAGCUAGCUUCUUCUCUAGCAGAUGUUCCAUGAUGUCCUUACAAAUCACCUAUUACUUGUAUUUUGCUGAUUUUGUGUAAAACUGGGGAGAAGGUAAGAGAAGAACAAACUAGGCUGGAGAUCACAUGGAAACUCUGAAACUCAAGACCAGAUGAAUCUGAAAUGGCAAGGGAGGCAGAAAGAAUCAAGAGGGAGAGCACGGACAAUGCACACUGGGAUCCCAAAGACUGCGAAUCUUCUUUCCUUUUGCAUUUUCGUCUAUUUUCACAGACGAGGAUAUGGUUUCCAAACGCCUCAUGUGAUGUCCAGAGUUCAGAGUUAUUCACCUCUGAAUACUCACUCAGCAAUGAAGAAAGUUAUGUGGUCAGCAGAAAUAACUAUCUUGACGUAGCAAUUCAGGGAACAUCUAUUUUAAAUCUGUCCCUUGGAAAUUUCACGAAUGAUUUAUCAAAGUCAUAUAUGAUCUAUAACUGUUUCCUUGAGAUAAAUUCUUAGGGGUAGAAUGGCAGGAUCAGAGAGUAUAAAAAGUGUGAGACUUGUAGGAAAGACGGUGGAAUGAGAUGGACAUCAUUACCCUAAGUACAUGUAUGAAGACACAAAUGGCGUGAUUCUACUUUGUGUACAACCAGAGAAAUGAAAAAUUGUGCUCUAUAUGUGUACUAUGAAUUGAAAUGCAUUCUGCUGUCAUGUAUAAUGAAUUAAAAUAAGUAAAUAAAUA